AUUGAACGCUGGCGGCAGGCCUAACACAUGCAAGUCGAGCGGUAGCACAGAGAGCUUGCUCUCGGGUGACGAGUGGCGGACGGGUGAGUAAUGUCUGGGAAACUGCCUGAUGGAGGGGGAUAACUACUGGAAACGGUAGCUAAUACCGCAUAACGUCGCAAGACCAAAGUGGGGGACCUUCGGGCCUCAUGCCAUCAGAUGUGCCCAGAUGGGAUUAGCUAGUAGGUGGGGUAACGGCUCACCUAGGCGACGAUCCCUAGCUGGUCUGAGAGGAUGACCAGCCACACUGGAACUGAGACACGGUCCAGACUCCUACGGGAGGCAGCAGUGGGGAAUAUUGCACAAUGGGCGCAAGCCUGAUGCAGCCAUGCCGCGUGUGUGAAGAAGGCCUUCGGGUUGUAAAGCACUUUCAGCGGGGAGGAAGGCGUUAAGGUUAAUAACCUUGGCGAUUGACGUUACCCGCAGAAGAAGCACCGGCUAACUCCGUGCCAGCAGCCGCGGUAAUACGGAGGGUGCAAGCGUUAAUCGGAAUUACUGGGCGUAAAGCGCACGCAGGCGGUCUGUCAAGUCGGAUGUGAAAUCCCCGGGCUCAACCUGGGAACUGCAUUCGAAACUGGCAGGCUAGAGUCUUGUAGAGGGGGGUAGAAUUCCAGGUGUAGCGGUGAAAUGCGUAGAGAUCUGGAGGAAUACCGGUGGCGAAGGCGGCCCCCUGGACAAAGACUGACGCUCAGGUGCGAAAGCGUGGGGAGCAAACAGGAUUAGAUACCCUGGUAGUCCACGCCGUAAACGAUGUCGAUUUGGAGGUUGUGCCCUUGAGGCGUGGCUUCCGGAGCUAACGCGUUAAAUCGACCGCCUGGGGAGUACGGCCGCGAGGUUAAAACUCAAAUGAAUUGACGGGGGCCCGCACAAGCGGUGGAGCAUGUGGUUUAAUUCGAUGCAACGCGAAGAACCUUACCUGGUCUUGACAUCCACAGAACUUUCCAGAGAUGGAUUGGUGCCUUCGGGAACUGUGAGACAGGUGCUGCAUGGCUGUCGUCAGCUCGUGUUGUGAAAUGUUGGGUUAAGUCCCGCAACGAGCGCAACCCUUAUCCUUUGUUGCCAGCGGUUAGGCCGGGAACUCAAAGGAGACUGCCAGUGAUAAACUGGAGGAAGGUGGGGAUGACGUCAAGUCAUCAUGGCCCUUACGACCAGGGCUACACACGUGCUACAAUGGCAUAUACAAAGAGAAGCGACCUCGCGAGAGCAAGCGGACCUCAUAAAGUAUGUCGUAGUCCGGAUUGGAGUCUGCAACUCGACUCCAUGAAGUCGGAAUCGCUAGUAAUCGUAGAUCAGAAUGCUACGGUGAAUACGUUCCCGGGCCU
rnacentral:rRNA from 1 species